rnacentral:rRNA from 1 species
GCAAGUCGAGCGGACAGAUGGGAGCUUGCUCCCUGAUGUUAGCGGCGGACGGGUGAGUAACACGUGGGUAACCUGCCUGUAAGACUGGGAUAACUCCGGGAAACCGGGGCUAAUACCGGAUGCUUGUUUGAACCGCAUGGUUCAGACAUAAAAGGUGGCUUCGGCUACCACUUACAGAUGGACCCGCGGCGCAUUAGCUAGUUGGUGAGGUAACGGCUCACCAAGGCGACGAUGCGUAGCCGACCUGAGAGGGUGAUCGGCCACACUGGGACUGAGACACGGCCCAGACUCCUACGGGAGGCAGCAGUAGGGAAUCUUCCGCAAUGGACGAAAGUCUGACGGAGCAACGCCGCGUGAGUGAUGAAGGUUUUCGGAUCGUAAAGCUCUGUUGUUAGGGAAGAACAAGUGCCGUUCAAAUAGGGCGGCACCUUGACGGUACCUAACCAGAAAGCCACGGCUAACUACGUGCCAGCAGCCGCGGUAAUACGUAGGUGGCAAGCGUUGUCCGGAAUUAUUGGGCGUAAAGGGCUCGCAGGCGGUUUCUUAAGUCUGAUGUGAAAGCCCCCGGCUCAACCGGGGAGGGUCAUUGGAAACUGGGGAACUUGAGUGCAGAAGAGGAGAGUGGAAUUCCACGUGUAGCGGUGAAAUGCGUAGAGAUGUGGAGGAACACCAGUGGCGAAGGCGACUCUCUGGUCUGUAACUGACGCUGAGGAGCGAAAGCGUGCGGAGCGAACAGGAUUAGAUACCCUGGUAGUCCACGCCGUAUACGAUGAGUGCUAAGUGU